rnacentral:rRNA from 1 species
CGUGCAGGGUGGGUUUUGGUAAGUUGGAUGUGAAAUCUCCCGGCUCAACUGGGUGAGGUCGUUCAAAACUGCUGAACUAGAGGACGGUAGAGGAAAGUGGGAAUUCCCGGUGUAGUGGUGAAAUGCGUAGAUAUCGGGAGGAACACCAGUGGCGAAAGCGACUUUCUGGCCCGUUCCUGACACUAAGACGCGAAAGCUAGGGUAGCAAACG